rnacentral:rRNA from 1 species
ACUCCUACGGGAGGCAGCAGUGGGGAAUAUUGCACAAUGGGCGCAAGCCUGAUGCAGCAACGCCGUGUGAGUGAAGAAGGUUUUCGGAUCGUAAAACUCUGUCCUAAGGGAAGAAAAAAUGACGGUACCUUAGGAGGAAGCCCCGGCUAACUACGUGCCAGCAGCCGCGGUAAUACGUAGGGGGCAAGCGUUAUCCGGAAUCACUGGGCGUAAAGGGUGCGUAGGCGGCUUGACAAGCCAGGGGUGAAAGGCAUUGGCUCAACCAAUGUAAGCCUUUGGAACUGUUAAGCUUGAGUGCAGGAGAGGUAAGUGGAAUUCCUAGUGUAGAGGUGAAAUUCGUAGAUAUUAGGAGGAACACCAGUGGCGAAGGCGACUUACUGGACUGUAACUGACGCUGAUGCACGAAAGCGUGGGUAGCGAACAGGAUUAGAUACCCUGGUGGCACAGAG